rnacentral:rRNA from 1 species
AUUGAACGCUGGCGGCAUGCUUUACACAUGCAAGUCGGACGGCAGCGGGGUAGUGCUUGCACUACUGCCGGCGAGUGGCGAACGGGUGAGUAAUAUAUUGGAACGUACCGAGUAAUGGGGGAUAACCAAUCGAAAGAUUGGCUAAUACCGCAUACGCUCUGAGGAGGAAAGCAGGGGACCUUCGGGCCUUGCGUUAUUCGAGCGGCCAAUAUCUGAUUAGCUAGUUGGUGGGGUAAGGGCCUACCAAGGCGACGAUCAGUAGCGGGUCUGAGAGGAUGAUCCGCCACACUGGGACUGAGACACGGCCCAGACUCCGACGGGAGGCAGCAGUGGGGAAUUUUGGACAAUGGGCGCAAGCCUGAUCCAGCCAUGCCGCGUGUCGGAAGAAGGCCUUCGGGUUGUAAAGGACUUUUGUUAGGGAAGAAAAAGGAGCGGUUAAUACCCGUUUCUGCUGACGGUACCUAAAGAAUAAGCACCGGCUAACUACGUG